AGCGAACGCUGGCGGCGUGCCUAACACAUGCAAGUCGAACGUGAAAAGGGGCAACCCUGAGUAAAGUGGCGCACGGGUGAGUAACGCGUAGGUAAUCUACCCUGAAGUCUGGAAUAACCUGCCGAAAGGCGGGCUAAUACUGGAUAGAGCGAAGGACUCGUAAUCGGGUUUUUCGGGAAAGGGAGGGAGUAAUCCCCCUUGCUUUGGGAUGAGCCUGCGUCUCAUUAGCUAGUUGGUAGGGUAAUGGCCUACCAAGGCUUGGAUGAGUAGCUGGUCUGAGAGGAUGAUCAGCCACACUGGAACUGAAACACGGUCCAGACUCCUACGGGAGGCUG
rnacentral:rRNA from 1 species